rnacentral:rRNA from 1 species
UGCGUAGGCGGCCAGAUCAGUCAGGCGUGAAAGUUUUCGGCUUAACCGGAAAAUUGCGUUUGAUACUGUUUGGCUAGAAUCAGGAUGAGGUUGGCGGAAUGUGGCAUGUAGCGGUGAAAUGCAUAGAUAUGCCAUAGAACACCGAUUGCGAAGGCAGCUGGCUGGACCUGAAUUGACGCUGAGGCACGAAGGCGUGGGGAGCGAACAGGAUUAGAUACCCUGGUAGUCC